rnacentral:rRNA from 1 species
CUAACAAGGAUUCCCCCAGUAACGGCGAGUGAAGCGGGAACAGCUCAAAUUUGAAAUCUCCGGUGCUUGCACCGGCGAGUUGUAGUUGCGAGAAGCACUUUCUAGGUGGAUCGGUCGUGCCUAAGUUGCUUGGAACAGCAUGUCGCAGAGGGUGACAACCCCGUCUGUGGCGCGACCGGCCGCUGACGAUGUGCUUUCGAAGAGUCGGGUUGUUUGGGAAUGCAGCCCAAAAUGGGUGGUAAACUCCAUCUAAAGCUAAAUACUGGCGUGAGACCGAUAGCGAAGGAAACGAAUGGACUCAGCAAUGCGCCGUUUGAGAUUCAGCCGGUGGGCGGGAUCGGCGCGGGGUUUGCGGAUCUGAAUGGACCGCGGCUUCGCGCUCGUUUCUCCUCGCCGUCGCACUUCUCUUGGGCGCGCGUCAACGUCGGUUGGGACUGGGUUUGAAAGGUGCCGGGAAGGUAGGUCUGGACCUUCGGGUUCGGUCUGUUACAGCCCGGUUCUCUCAUGGCUCGGGCCCGACCGAGGAGUCGCAGCGCAUGCCUCUUGUGGCUAGGGUGCCGUCCUUCCGGCCGGUUGUCGAACGUGGUGGACUGCUUGCAGUGCUCCGCGACUGCUGCCGGUCGUUGGGGUGGUGAUCU